rnacentral:tRNA from 3 species
GGGCGUUGGUGUAAUGGCAGCACGCCACCCCCUGUGGGUGGAGAUCCGGGUUCGAAUCCCGUGGCGUCCGCUA